GAUGCCUGGGUGGCUCCAGAGUCAGCUGAGCCUGCUUAAGAUUCUUUCUCCCUCCCCCUCUCCCUUACUUAUGUGCUCUCUCUAAAAAUAAAUAAAAAUAAAUUAAAAAAAAAGACAAUCUUCUUAGAAUUAGUAUUUAAUGUUAUGUUUUAUUCAUUUGACUAACAUUUUAUACCUAUUCUUUUUAAAUAAAUACUUAUUCUAUGGGAGAUAGAAGUAGAUAACUACAGUGUCUGCUUGGCUGAUUUCAUCUAUUUCUACAGGAAGUACUUCUAACCACAGGGUCACCCCUCAGGAAUCAUACUCACAACUAGUGAAGUUGCUCUGUGGCCAUAACUGAUUGGACAACUGGCUGGAGUCCCUUCAUGAAGCCUGGCUGCAUCCUUGUCCUUUAAUUUGUAAUGCUACUCUUCAGUAUCCUUAUAACUGGAACUUUUUCUUUCUUUCUUUCCUCUUUAGAAUUAAGUUUGAAUUCAUUACUGUUAGUGAGAACCAAAGAACUCUAAACAAAUGAAGAUGGACCUUUCAAGAUUUGGAAAUCAAGACAUUUUUUUGCCACAGUUAAAUGCUAACUGCAGGGAUUUAUUAAGUGCCUAUUGUUCAUCACGCACUGAAGACAUAAGAGCAAACAUCGACAAAUUCCUGCCUUACAGAUGUUUACAGGCGUUAAGUAGAAGGUUAUCAAUUAAAUCCGCAGAUAAAUGGAAAACUGCAAUUUUGAAGGAGGUUACAAAAAGAGUUUCCAACAGGACGAUUUGGCUUCUUCGAGGAAGAAGGGGAAGGCUCCCUUAAAGAAGUGAAAUUGAAAGCAAGAGUCAGAAGUUGCCGGAAUCAAAGGACUGCUCAGGUACACAGAAAGCCGUGUGCAGAGGAACAGUGGCAACAGGAAACACGUGAGGAUGUGCGGCUAAAAGAGGACUUGGAAAGGGGCCAGAUCAUGAGAAUCUUGAAGGUGUUAUUUAAGGAGCUCCUUUUUCUGUUUCCUAAGAGCAACAGGCACACAGACAUCAAAGUGUAUGAAGAAGGAGGGGUAAAAUAAUCAGGUGUGUUUGUUUUUUUUAAUUACUCUGUCUACUCAAGAAGAGUCAAAACCUCAAAUGAGAAGUCCUGAAAUGGCGAGGGAGAUGGGAAGAGCCCAGAGGCCGCAGGGCCGGCUAGAGAAAGGUGGGGAGAAUUGAGAAUGGGAAUCCUGGACACGAGGGUGAAGGCGCUAGAGGGAAGGUGGCCUGCAGGCUUAUUGUUACAUAUUGCCAAGGGCUUCUUUGUUUAACCCUGCCUUUGAAAAUAGAAACUGAUGUGGCAAAGACUGGUUCAGGUAAGAAUCGUCAAUACAUACUCAAUUUAUGGGAUAAACUUUGAUGAAGAACCGUACAUGGUCUUAAAACAUCUCCCCAAAUAUUGCUUCUGAGUUGCUCAUGAGUAAACACACAGAAACAGUGUAACACCUUAAUCAGGUGAUCCAAACAGCACCAUGAAGGGGGAAGAUGGACACUGUGUGCCUCUGGGUAUGAUAACCUGAGGAUGUUUCAUCACUUAUAUAGCAUUCAUGGCUUGGAACACAUAACCUGAAUAUAACAGUCAUCAAGAAACACCAAUCAAGUGUCUCAGAGACACACGUUUUACUUAAAGAGGAGGGCUGAGUUACUCAAAAAUCUCAGUGUCAUAAAGACAAAAGGCAGGCUGAGGAACUCUUAAAGCAGACUGGUGGGCUUAAAACAGUACAAAUUUAUGAUGUUACAAUUGUUGAGGUCAGAUCCAACUCCAGGCUGUUUAGGCUCAAAUCAAGGUGUGCAUGUGGGCUGGUUUAUUCAAAGGGGCUCUUCAGGAGAAUUAUUUUCCUUGCCCUUUUCAGCCUUUAGAGGCCACCACCUGCAUCCCUUGGCCCGUGGCCCCUUCCCCAUCUUCAAAGCCAAUAGCGUAACAUCUUCUAAUCACUCUCUCUGGCUCUGAUAGUUCUGCCUCCCUCAUAUAAGGAUUCAUGUGAUUAGAAUAGAACAAUCUGGAUAAUUUCAGAUAGCUUAAGGACUUAGAGAUGGGGCAUUUAAUUAUAUCUGCAAAAUCCCUUUUUACAUGUAAGGUGAUAUGGUCACAGCAUGGGACAUCUUUGGGAGACAUUUGGCCGUCUCACACCUGAUGUAAAAAUGCAAGCCAUUAUCCUAGACUGGAUCUUGUACUAGAGGAAAAUACUAAAAAGAUACAGCCAAUAGAUUUAAGUAUUUUAGUUAUUGGUAAAUUUACUGAAGUUGACAACCAUACUGUGGCUACAAAGAAGAAGAGCCUUUACUUAGGAAACACACACUGAAGUAUGUAGCGGUAAACAUCCCUUAUAUAUACAAGUGAUUCAAUGAGUUCAGGAAAACAAUAACACACACGUUUGCACAUUUACUUUAGUAAAUGAGGCAAAAUGUUAAAAGUAGACGAAUAUGCAUUAAAGAGUUUGUGAGUGUUUUUGGAAUACUCACAACUUUUCUGUAAGUUUGGAAUUAUUUCCAAACAAAAAGUUAAAGCUGAUAAAUCUAUAAUUAAAAAUGGAUAAAUCUUCUUUUUACUCAAAUACCAUAAGCAAAUCAAAAUAUAUAUCAUUUUAUAAACAUUGGGAUAACAGCAGAUGUGUGGCACAAAUUCAGCAAUCCAAUUUUUGGUCUUUCUGCAAUAACGUUACUGGUAAAUGAAAGGAUCAGAAAUGUUUAGGAUUUUUAAGGUUAGUGACUUAAAAUCCUAACAGUCUGGCAAUAUUACAGUUUCAAGAGCUUAAGACAGAAUUGGUGAUUAUCAUCAGGUUUAAAUACCAACUGGCUGGUAGCACCCUGCUAUUUGUGACAAGGAAACUGCUAGGUAAUUUUCUAAGAGGUCCCUUAGAAAAGUACCUCCCCUCCCCCCACCAUUUUCAGGAGUACUUAGCAGAAUUUUAAAGCAAAACUACAACAAUAAAGCGUAUUCUAUUCUAGAGCCACCUUCUGCCCGGUGCUUCAAGACGGAAUUUUAUUGCCGUGGCCCCAGAGAAUCUUUCUGGUGCUCAUUCUGAUUCCUACUCCACCCUUUAUUGUUUAAAGACAAAAUAUAAUGCAGCUGGGUCUCUGACCACUGACAAAUAAUCACUGGCCUCUCCACUGGGAAACUCCUCUGGUCUUGGCAGAAACUAACAUUUUAAAAUAAAGGUAAAACAAAGUGUAAGACCCCGUUUCUACCCAAAGCCUUAUGCACGAGCUUAUUUUCUUGCCAACUGUGGUAGCCAAGAACAAAGUUUCUCCAGUUGUGCCAGGACGGUGUGCCAAGAUCAAAUAAUAGUGGACUUUUCUCAAUUACAGAAACAAGAAAAAAAAACGUGGCAAUGAAUCAGCUUUAUUUUUGCAAGUUUGGCUCUUGCUACCACAGCCCAUACUAAAAUGUGUGACUGAGCACAACCUAGGAUUUUAUCAGCACAAAGUAAUCUAUUUUGUUAUUUUCAAUUUAACAUGAAAAGCUGCAUGAUUUCUUUGAGUUUGGCAAUCACAGACCUAAAUGCUUCUGCCAGGAGCAGGGUGCACCUUUAUUACUUACACGUUUCACUCAGAACACCCUCCCUUGCUAUUGAUGACUAGAGGUUUCUUUUGAAGACUGUCACUUUUUAGUUGGACAACCCUGGGCAAAAUGCUUAUAAACCUCAGUGUGUCAUUUGUAAAACAAGAACCCAUACAAAUCACAGAAGCUGUCUUGCCUUCCUUGAAGGGUUUUUCUAACCAUCCAAAGAAAUAAAUAUGUGAAAUCAUCAUGAAAGUUAAAAAAAAAAAAAAAGCAUUAUGAAAAGGCCAGAUAGUCCCCCUCACCUAGUUAUUAAAAUUUUUGCACAUAAAGCUAAUUGAUGUGUUUGUUCCUUAAAAUGUCUGCCAAAGGGCUGGCUCCAGAACUUUUCCUAACAAAUACUGUACCUGCUGCCUGAGUGAUUGACUGAAUAGAUGAAUUAACUUUCAAGCUGCUAUGAUUUUACAUUCCUGUUUGAAGAGAACUCCCCCUAAUUCAGUGGAACAGACACUAACCUAAACUUGAGGGUAUCUGGUUCAACAUGAAGAAACACAUUCUAAGGAGUUCUAAGGAACUUUAGAUAGCUCGUGCUAAAAUGUUUACUUUCUUAAUGAAAAUUGGCCUUUGACAUUCUCUUGAAAAUAACCUUAUAGUCUUUGAAUGACUUUUUAAGCACAAGCACUUAGUGAUGUAACACACUUAAAAUGGUCAUCAUUUUGAUUGACUAAGCCACAAAAAGUAUUCAAAGCCUAAGACAACUUGCACAGGGUGGAUUUAUAAUAAGCAUUUCAUAAAUCGUGGAAAGAUGUUUACUUGCAGAGUAACCCAAACGAUUUUAAAUUAAGUCAAGGAACACAAUCCAGUAGUUAAAAUGAAUCAUCGUGGAUUGGCACAUUACAGGUCAAAGGCAUGUCACAAAAUACAAGCAAGUUGCAAAGUGGUAUAUGUACUACAGUGUAAUUAACAUAAAUAUGAAAAUAUGCAAAAAAUACAGUAUCUUCUGGGUGCAUAGUUUGCCGUAAAUAUGAAAGAGCAGGCAGAGUUACUAUGCACUGUUGCACUCAACACAACUCUUCAGGCCAUGACUUGAAAACACAUGGUAGAAUGAAAGAUUCCAGCUCAAAAUACUUGUUCCUAAGAGUCAAAUUGCCUGUACGAGACAAAGUGGGGACCACUGGAGAUAGGAAAGAGGCAUGGUAGUAUUUAUAAUGUUUCAUUAAAAAUACAUAUUUAUGGAGCGCCUGGGUGGCUCAGUCAGUCGAGUGCCCAACUCUUGAUUUCAGCUCAGGUCAUGAUCUCAUGGUUCAUGGGUUUGAGCCUCACACUGGGCUCUUUGCUGACAGCACAGAGCCUGCUUGGGAUUCUCUCUCUUUGGCCCUCCUCUGCUGUUGUUUGCUCAAAAAAAAAAAAAAAAAAAAAGCCAAAAACAAAA